UGGUAAGUGCAGUGAAGGAUAGGCAUGCCUUCAUCCUGAGUCAAACAUGAUUCCCACGUGCACAAUAUGCUUUAGGAUCUGGUCGGAAUCAAAAGGAACCUUUCCAGAAACUAGGUCAUCAGGUCGAGGCUCCAAACACUUGAUCACCAGCUAGGUGUAGGAACCCCUUACCUCCAAAUCAAUGGUGCUUCUCUUUCCUGAGAGGAAGGAUAGGAAAAACCACCGAAUCCAGCAUCUCCUGUUUCUGAAUGAACAAUGCAGACCUCUUGCAGAAUUUCACUCAUGGGUGUCGCCAAUGGAGACUUCCUUGUACACUAGCCCUCGGGUCUUUUUCACUCCCCAGACAGCAUUCCUGCCAGGAGAUAGGAGUGGGCCCUUCAUUCUAACUUUAGCCCAUUCUCUUCUGUAAUGAAGACCUUUGGUGCUCAGGUUGCCUAUUGGCUUUGUAUUGCUCUUGUUUUCAAGGUACUUUCGACCUGGGAGCCAUUGAGAGCACGAGCCUCUGAAGAAUGUACUCUGUUUGAACUAGAAAAUUGCAGGAUCCACAGGUCUGUGUCAGCUACACAGCCCAGGUGCAAAUAUUGGUGUGGAGUUCCCAGUCAGUUCCGGAGCCUAUUGACAGCACUCAGUGUCUGGUAUCCCAGAGUGCCCACGUGCAAAUGUCGGCUUCUCAGAAUGAAGACACCGCGGUCAUCCAGGACAGUGAGGCAAGCCGGCUCCCCUUCACCCUCCAUAGCACUGCAGGCCAAGCACCAAGCACCCAGCCACUCAAGGCCCGUUUUCCUUUGGUAGAGCAGAGCCUGAUCGCUCUCACUGAACACAGGAGCACAGUGAGAAUUUGUGGCCUGCCCAGGGGUGCCAAGUGACUGAGGGAUGCCUCCAUGGCGCCUAACGGAGAAAAAAAAAAUACAUUCUCUAAAACACAGCAGGGCGAUAGGAAUGGGCACCAGGUGGGCCAAAGCUCCACCUUUCAAAAGGGAAUGGGCAUCCCCUUGCAGAGAUGUUUUGCUUCAUUUGCCUUCAGGCCAGAAGGAGACCCGCUCCCUGCCCAAAUCUCUGGCCAGCAUACACACCAAACAUCCUCUGCUGGGUCCCUCCAAACGCCCGGGACCUCUGAAUGCAUGCACACUUCUGAAACCCAGUGACUUAAUGAGGAAGGAGUCCUGUGGCAAAAACCCUCCCACAGUCACAGGCCCUGGACCACACUGUCAGGUCGAAGACAGAAGAUAGGACCCUGGAGACACUGAUUCUGAAAAGAUUGUGAGAAGACCCUUGUCUCUACAAGACAGCAACAAUGCAUCAAGCGGGAUGAGGAGGGCCAGAGCUCUUCAGAGCUUGGAAGGGGAAUUCUAUGGAGAAGGCAGUGCCCUGCACCAGCUCCUGGCAACCUGGCUAGAAGAAGAAACCCCAGACAGCUUAUGCAAAAGCGCCAUCUAGUGUCUCCAUUGGGAGCCAACUCAGCACCAGGCCUGCCUUCUUCCUUCAGAAGGACCUAGGGCACCCUGGGUCUUGGUCAGCUUUUGGUGGUUUUUGCAACAUUGAAUGGAGUGAGCAGCGACUGUGCUCUAGCUGCGACGUUCCCCCAGCUGCGGCUCCAAAGUGUGGAGAGGGGCAUUGGUGCCCUCUAACUGUAAGAGGCUCUUCCUGUGCAGACCAACUUCUGGAACCUUCGGCUCCUGUGUGACCUCUUUGAUUUUCAGAAGGAAAGCACAUCAAUCAGGCAGAGUAGGAAGUUGAGCUGGCUCCACCCACCCACCCACCCACCCAUCCCUUGCUACAAACAGCCAAGCACCAAGGUCAGGGUAUGGAGGCACAUUCUACUUUAGGAUAUCUAUCAGGUGCUGAUGGCUAUAAGUGAGCCUGGAACCGAGUGGGAAGCCGAUGCCCAUCCAACGGUGCCUGCUGAGGGAGUACCAGCUCUGAGACUCCUAAGGGUGAAAGAAGAGGCAGUCAGAAACACAGGAAGGGAGAGGAUAUGGCUACAGCCAGGACCAAAGGGCAUUCAAUAUUUCCAUCCAGUGGGGAUGCAAUCAAGGUGGAAUGGAGAUGUUUCUCUUCAUUUCCACUCGGCCCAGCAAGGGGGACAGUUCCCUGCUAAUACAUCUGGCAGAGCCAUUCCCGCACAUACCUCUCGGCUGGACACCUUCCGAUGCCCUUCCGAUGCCCUUCCGAUGUCCGUAUAGACCUGAAACCAAAAGGCCAAAGCCACUUUAGCUCCACUUAUCCCACAGUCACAAGGACUGUUCCCGUGGGACCUUUGCAAGCCGGAGAGAGUACUCUGAAAGACUGAAUUUGUAUGGACCCCAAGACGAACCUGGAUGGAUGAUAAAGCAACGUCAUGAAACUGGACACAACGAGGGCUAGAGUUCUUCCUGUUUAGAAGAACCUGACUAGCACCAUGUAUUUGCAAGCCGGCUUGCUCAGGAAUCACGAGCAACUUUGGUGUGCUUGGCUCCAGGAGUUCUGCCAAGGAUACCCGUUGGAGCCCUGUGAGCAGGAGGCCCACAUUCUCCCUUAAGAAACAGAGGGGAACUUUGGCUUCUAGUGCGUUUCUGCCCGUCAUAUCCAUCGAGAGGGUCAGCACUGGGUCUGAGAAAUGAAGAAUGUGCUUCCAGGCAACGAUCCAGAGGUGGGAACGAGGUCUUGGUCCACUGUUUAUUCAAAGGGCUUUUUGUGCACCGAUCAGGUUGUGGAGCAUACUGCACUUGCCAGAUGCUCUGUUCUUUUGAUUGAGGGUAAUUCUACCCAUUAGGGAAGGGGUCCCGGCUGGUACCCAUUCCCAUGAUCCUAUACCCUGCCCACCACCUAACGUUCAGGGACGGGGGGGGAUAGAUGUCCUCUGGGACAUCAGACUCUGAGAGCCACACGUCAGGUCAGCGAAGCCUUGGAAACUCACCCGCAAAUCGGGGACCUGGGUUGCUGUAGGGGACAGACACAGGGUCUCCAUGUGAUAACUGACAAGUUAAGAAAACAGCAAUUAGAGAAGACUGAUUCCAGGGUGAGUCAAAGCUGUGCAUUCAAGUGGGCACGGGGAGAACCGAGGAAAGAGACCAUGACUUUCCCUUCCCCUUGACCCACACAGCCAGCAGGUGGGAUCCACCCCUAACUUCAGGCUUAGCCUACCCACGAGCAUUCUCCCUGGGCAUCCUCACACACACUUGGUAUAGGCAUGCCCAUAUCAUUCUGAAACCAAACUGAGAAGGGCCCCAUUGAAUACCGUUAUCAGCAUCACAAGCACACCACCAAACAAGGAUGUUACCCUGGAACGCUGUCCCGGAACAGUGUUCACCGAAGCCCUCUUUCAUCUGCAAAGUUCAGGAGUGGCAAUGGAGACACACACUGCCAAGGUUCUUCACCACACAGAUUCAGAGAAAGUUGACAGUGAAGAAGCCAACGCACUCUCCUAUCAACCAGGUUGUUUCUGGAGUAAGAAAAGCCUGUGGGAUUAGGCCAAAGGGCCCUCUGAAGGACUACACCUGGGAGCCCUUUCAGCAAGAAAGCCUGCCUUCUUUCUUCAGGAGCCAGGGAUUUCUGGCUUGGUCGAUCGCUGCCACGUUUCCCAUCCCUUGAGGGAGGCAGCAGCGUUUGAGCUGUAGCUAUGAGGCUCUGAGGGCUCUUGCUCAGGAAUCUGCAACAAGGACUUGGUUCCCUCGUUCCUGGCAAAGCCUCUUCCAAUGCUGACCCCCUCCUCAUUGCUACUGACCAUGUGCAAACUGCUUCUCAGAAUAAAGGCAACUGAGUCGUCCGGGCCAGUGAGGUAAGCUGGCCCUCCUCACCCUCCAUAGCACAGCCGACCAAGCACCAAGCAACCAGGCACUCCAAGGCCUGCUUUCCUCUGGUAGAGCAGAACCUGAUACUUCUGACUGAACACAAGAGCAGAGUGGGAGAUUGCAGCCUAGCCAGGUUUGCCGGCUGUGUUAGUGAUGGCUCCUUGGUGCCUAAGGGAGAAAAAAUAAUACAUUGUCAGACACACAGCAAGGGAAAGGAAAUGGGUGCCACGUGGGCCAAAGCUCCACAUUUAUGGGGUGGGAACGUGGAUCCACGUGGAGAAAUGGCUUCCUUCAUUUGUCUCUGGCCAGAAGGAGUCCUGCUCUCUGACCAAAUCUCCAGCUUAGCCUAAACACGAGACAUCCUCCGCUGGUCCCCUUCACAUCCCUGAGCUCUGAAUGGCUGCAUACUUCUGAAACCCAGUGAAUUAGUGAAGAAGUAGCCCUGUGGCAAUGUCUCUCCCGUAGUCCGAAGGACUGGAUCCGACUCCCAGGUGGCAGACGGAGGAUAGACUCUUGGGACCCUGAUUCUGAAGGGAUUGCGGGAAGAGCCUUGUCUCCACAAGAGAGCAAAGGUAUGUUAAGGUCGAU
ensembl:lncRNA